rnacentral:lncRNA from 10 species
UGGUGCGAUCUCGACUCACUGCAUCCUCUGCCUCCCAGCGUCUCGCUCUGUCACCCAGGCUUCAGUGCACUGGCACAAUCAUGGCUUACCGCAGUCUUGACGUCCCAGGCCCAAGCGAUCCUCCCACCGCAGCCUCACAGGUAUACUGAAAGCUAUUCUGAUGAUGAUUCAAGUAUGGAAGACUACCCAGAUCCACAGUCAGCAAAUCACAUGAACAGUUCCCUGCUGUCUUUAUAUCGGAAAGGAAAUCCUGAUUCUGUUUCAAAUACUCCUGAGAUGGAGCAAAGAGAAACCACCUCUUCAACACCACGGAUAAGUUCCAAAACAGGCUCCAUUCCCUUGAAGACCCCUGCCAAAGAUUCUGAAGGAGGAUGGUUUAUUGACAAAACCCCAAGUGUAAAGAAAGACAGUUUUUUCUUGGACCUGUCAUGUGAGAAAAGUAAUCCUAAGAAGC